GGAGGUUACUGCUAUCGGUGUUCGCCUAACCCAUGCAAGUCAUAUGUUCUUCGUGAACAUGGCGUACUGCUCAGUAACACGUGAAUAACCUGCCCUUGGGACCGGCAUAACCCCGGAAAACUGGGGAUAAUUCCGGAUACCGCAUAUAUGCUGGAAUGCUUUAUGCGUGAAAUGGAUUCGUCUGCCCAAGGAUGGGUCUGCGGCCUAUCAGGUAGUAGUGGGUGUAAUGUACCUACUACCCUACAACGGGUACGGGUUGUGAGAGCAAGAGCCCGGAAAUGGAUUCUGAAACAUGAAUCCAGGCCCUACGGGGCGCACCAGGCGCGAAAACUUUACAAUGCGGGAAACCGUGGUAAGGGAACACCAAUUGCCAGCAACAUUUGUUGGCUGUCCGGGUGUGUAAACUACACCUGUUAGAAAGGGCCGGGCAAAACGGGUGCCAGC
rnacentral:rRNA from 1 species